CGCUGGAUGGUGUAGGCAGUCUGCACGCCCGGUUGAAACCCGGGAGGUGACGGUGCAAUUCCGGCUCCGGCGGCCA
rnacentral:tRNA from 1 species